AUGUCUAGAUUCGUUUUUAGUCUUAUAACCCUCCUUCCACUUAUCUCACUUCUUGCGCUGCGCUCCUGUGCUGCAGCAUCGGGAGGACACAUGCUGGGCGCCGGGUCAUCCCUGUCCGUGGAAGACCACGAGCGGCCCUUCCUGGUGUCGCCGGACGCCACCUUCUCCUGCGGCUUCCUCCCGGCCGUCGACGUCGACAACGCCUUCUACUUCUCCAUCUGGUUCACCGCGGCCACGGACAGGACCGCCGUCUGGACGGCCAACCCCGGCGCCCCCGUGAACGGCCGGAUUUCCCGUGUAUCCUUCGGUGCCGACGGCAAGCUAGCCCUCGCCGACGCCAACGGGACGACUGUGUGGGACAGCAAGGCAGCCGGCAACAAGUACUUCACUGUCUCCCUCCUCGACACCGGUAAUCUUCGGGUCGUGGACCCGUCCACCGGCCGUGCCGUGUGGCAGAGCUUCGAGUGGCCGACGGACACCCUGCUGCCGUCGCAGGCGCUGACCAAGGACACGAAGCUCGUCGCCGGCUACUACGCCCUCUACUACGACAACGACAACGUGCUGCGGCUCCUGUACGACGGCCCGGAGAUCGCCAGCAUCUACUGGCCUAACCCGGGCAUAAGCGUGUUCGACAACGGCCGGACCAACUACAACAGCUCACGCAUCGGCGUCCUCGACGACACCGGUGUGUUCCUCUCCAGCGACAACCUGCGAGUCGAGGCCUCCGACCUGGGCGCCUCCGGCGUCAAGAGGCGGCUAACCAUCGAGCAGGACGGAAACGUGAGGAUGUACAGCCUCGACGCGGCCGGAGGAUGGACUGUCACGUGGGCUGCGGUCAAGCAGCCGUGCUCCGUCCGUGGGCUGUGCGGCAAGAACGCCGUCUGCGAGUACCAGCCGUUCCUCCGGUGCUCCUGCGCGCCGGGGUACGAGAUGGUGGACCGCCGGGACUGGAGGAAGGGCUGCAACCCGACCUUCAGCCUCCCCGCCACCAACUGCAGCACGUCGGAACAGCGGUUCACGUUCGUCAAGGUAGCGCACACUGACUUCUACGGCUACGACCUCGGGUUCAACCAGUCCGUCACGUUCCAAUACUGCAAGAGCAUCUGCUUGAGUAUGUGCUCCUGCGCCGCCUUCCAAUACAGGACGGAUGGCAAGGGCGGAUGCUAUCCCAAGGGCAUCCUGUUCAACGGUUACACGUCGCCCACACCCGAAGGGACCAUAUAUCUCAAGCUGCCUAGCGACCUCAACGCCCCGGCAACGCCGCCACCCGCGGUCCUCGACUGCGAUCAAAAUGCCGCCAUCGUCCCGCCAACAUACGCGGACACGUACGGGACACCAAGCAGCGGCCCAAAUUUGUCCUAUCUUUUUUGGUUCGCCGCGGUGCUAGGAUUUCUCGAGGCCCUCUUCAUCGCCACGGCGUGGUGGUUCCUGUCAGGCCAGGAGAGCAUGCCCAGUUCGCUGGUGGCCGGCUACCGGCUGGUCAUGGGGACCCAGUUCAGAAGGUUCACGUAUCGAGAGCUCAAGAAAGCGACCGGAAACUUCAACGAAGAGCUCGGUCGCGGCGGUUCCGGCGUGGUGUACCGCGGUGUGCUUGACAAGACCACCGUGCUGGCGGUGAAGGAGCUAACAAACGUGGUGCAGGGCGAGGAGGAGUUCUGGGCGGAGAUGGCGGUGUUUGGGAGGAUCAACCAUAUCAACUUGGUGAGGACCUGGGGGUUCUGCUCCGAGGGAAAGCACAAGCUGCUGGUGUACGAGUACGUGGAGAAUGGGUCGCUGGACAGGCACCUGUUCGGCGAGGACAUCGGCAAGGCACUGGCAUGGAGAGACCGGUUCAAGAUCGCACUGGGCGCGGCCAAGGGCCUAGCCUACCUCCACCACGAGUGCCUGGAGUGGGUCAUCCACUGUGACGUCAAGCCGGAGAACAUCCUGCUCACUCGAGACCUCGACCCAAAGAUCGCCGACUUCGGGCUGUCCAAGCUAUCCGGGAGGAAAGCCGUCGCCGACGGCAUGCAACUCUCCCAGAUGAGGGGGACGACAGGGUACAUGGCACCCGAGUGGGUGCUGGGGCUACCGAUCGACGCAAAGGUCGAUGUUUACAGCUAUGGCAUUGUGCUUCUGGAGAUCCUGAUGGGAAGCCGGAUAACUGAACAGACGACAGUGGACCGCGCCGAGCGGCUGCAGAUGAGCCAAAUUGUGCAGGCCCUGAAGCAGGUGGUGGCGAGUGGAGACGUCAUGUCGUUGAUGGAUAGCAGGCUGAACGGGCUGUUCAACCCUCAACAAGCCAUGGAAAUGUUGAAGAUCUCCUUAUCGUGCAUGGAGGAGAGGAGCAGCAGGCCGACCAUGGACGACAUUUUUAAAGCUCUUAUAGCAUGCGAUGACGAGGACGAACACCCUGCGUACUUGUCGUGA
rnacentral:rRNA from 1 species